CAAACCUACACAACCUUUACACUGUGGCUAUGCUAGCUGAUUAGAGAGCCUGUGGUUCACUUGUUGCAGAUGACACGGUUCCCUUCUCCACUGACAGCAGUCUGUGUGGUGUUAGAGGGGGGUGGGUGUGGGGCAGAGAGAGUGGCAGUGGGGGCACUGGAAGCUGAAGGGCUGCCACUCCUCUGCAACUUCAGCCGUAGCUUGCCCGUAACUUGUCAAGCUUCUAACAACCUGUGGGUGUAACCGCAAAGGUUACAGAAGACAAGAGCCUGUACUAUAAUACUGUAGUGUCACACAGGUGACAUUUGUUUCCUGAUAAGCACGUCCUUGUCACCCAACCUGGCGCCGAACAAAGUGGCAUUUGCGCUGUGGAGAGAUGGGACUGAGUGGAGUUUGAUAAACUGUGGAGCCCACAGAGAGAC